GACUGGUCUAAAGGUAGUCAGUUAUCUCAAUUGAUUAUUCAUAAUCAGUUACAGAUUGAUGUUCUUGUUCUACUCUGCCCAUUCCCCGUCUCACUACUGCACUUGACUAGUCUAAA
rnacentral:Y_RNA from 1 species